GCCAAACUUGUUGUAGUGGUUUGAGCAUUAGACUAUAACCCUGGAGACCAGGGUUUGAAUCCCUGCAUUGCCA